rnacentral:lncRNA from 1 species
CAGAAAUCUAAUUUGUUGGAGUUCAAUGACUACAGAAGCCUUUACCCAGGAUGCUGAGCUUGGAGAGGUACUCAGAGACAUCCUACAUCAGUGCCCUAAACAUCACACUAGCAACAUUAUCACUUCAUCCCCACUGAGGAAGGAACGUGGGUACAUUCAGGGGGAGACUGCCCAGUGACCUUAGCUGACAUCUUUCAAUACAGAAAUGGUUUUGUUGUUAGUGACUGCUGCGGCUGGCUAAGGACAUCCCAGGAGAAAGAAUACGAAGAGGCUCUUCAGCAAGGCAACUAGACACGAUGCUAUGAGCAUCAACAAAGGCUUUUGAACGUGUCAUUAAAAGAAGACAAAAGUAAUUCCUCCCUCCAAGUAAUGAGGCCCAUGGAUUCCAAAGAAGAUCUGUCUCCCCCACAUUCUUUUCUCCACUGGAGGCCAAGUUGGAGGUCAGAGCAUCUGCCCCAGCAUCCCUAGUGGAGAGAGAGGACUAAGUUAACUCCUCCCCUUUUCCUCUUCUUGUAUCGAAGUUGAUUCUGAUGCCAGACUCCACUACCUGCCACUAUCAUGGCUGUGCUGUGACCCUUGUUGCCUGUUUUGAUUGGGGCUAUUGUGGCUCAGAGUAAUAGAACUCUUGACAGUUGUUUAAAAUUGAUAUUUUCCUUUCUCACAUAACAUUUUAGAGGCAGUCGGGUCAAGACUAGCACAGCGAUUCACCAUUGCUGGAAGGGCCAGCUCUUUCCUUCUGUCCUCACAGCAGAUUGAGGUGUUGCCUCAAGAUAAUGAUUUUAUGAUCUUGUCUCCAAACAAAUAAAAAAAAACAACCCA